rnacentral:rRNA from 1 species
UACGUAGGGGGCAAGCGUUGUCCGGAAUCAUUGGGCGUAAAGAGCGUGUAGGCGGCUCGAUAAGUCCGCUGUGAAAGUCCAGGGCUCAACCCUGGAAGGCCGGUGGAAACUGUCGGGCUAGAGUCCGGAAGAGGCGAGUGGAACUCCUGGUGUAGCGGUGGAAUGCGCAGAUAUCAGGAAGAACACCAACGGCGAAGGCAGCUCGCUGGGACGGAACUGACGCUAAGGCGCGAAAGCGUGGGGAGCGAACAGG